CGGGGUGAGUAACGCGUGGAUAACCUGCCUCACACUGGGGGAUAACAGUUAGAAAUGGCUGCUAAUACCGCAUAAGCGCACAGUACCGCAUGGUACGGCGUGAAAAACCCAGGUGGUGUGAGAUGGAUCCGCGUCUGAUUAGCCAGUUGGUAAGGUAACGGCUUACCAAGGCGACGAUCAGUAGCCGACCUGAGAGGGUGAUCGGCCACAUUGGAACUGAGACACGGUCCAA
rnacentral:rRNA from 1 species